rnacentral:rRNA from 1 species
GAUGAACGCUGGCGGCGUGCCUAAUACAUGCAAGUCGAGCGAACAGACGAGGAGCUUGCUCCUCGGACGUGAGCGGCGGACGGGUGAGUAACACGUGGAUAACCUACCUAUAAUACUGGUAUAAAUUCGGGAAACCGGAGCUAAUACCGGAGAAUAUAUUGAUGCGCAGGGUUCAAUAGUGAAAGACGGUUGUGCUGUCACUUAUAGAUGGAUCCGGGCCGCUUGAGCUAGUUGGUAAGUUAACCGAUUUGCAAGGCGACGAUGCGUAGCCGAAGUGAGAGACUGAUCGCCCACCUGGGAACUGAGCCGGCGUCCAGACUCCUGCGGGACGCAGCAGUAGGGAAUCUUCGGCAAUAGGGGAAAGCAUGGCGGAGCAACGCCGAGUGAGUGAUGAAGGUCUUCGGAUCGUAAUACUCUGUUAUUAGGGAAGAACCAAUGUGUAAGUAACUGUGGCCGUCUUGACGGUACCUAAUCAGAAAGCAACGGCUAACUACGUG